rnacentral:rRNA from 1 species
UACGUAGGUGGCAAGCGUUGUCCGGAAUUAUUGGGCGUAAAGCGCGCGCAGGCGGUCCUUUAAGUCUGAUGUGAAAGCCCACGGCUCAACCGUGGAGGGUCAUUGGAAACUGGGGGGACUUGAGUGCAGAAGAGGAAAGUGGAAUUCCACGUGUAGCGGUGAAAUGCGUAGAGAUGUGGAGGAACACCAGUGGCGAAGGCGACUUUCUGGUCUGUAACUGACGCUGAGGCGCGAAAGCGUGGGGAGCAAACAGG